GGUGAACGCUGGCGGCGGGCCUAACACAUGCAAGUCGAGCGACCGGACGGUAAGCUUUCGCCCCUGCUGUUGGCGGCGGGCGGGUGAGUAACACGUGGAUAACCUACCUCUAAGACUGGGGUAAUUUCGGGAGAACGCUGCUAAUACUGGAUCAUACUUUGUACCGCAUGGAUCAAAAGUGCAUGACGGCUUUCGCGUCACUAAUAGAUGGAUCCGUGCUGGAUUAGCUAGUUGGUAAGGUAACGGCUUACCAAGGCGACGAUGCGUAGCCGAUCUGAGAGGAUGAUCGGCCACACUGGAACUGAGACACGGUCCAGACUCCUACGGGAGGCAGCAGUGGGGAAUCUUGGGCAAUGGGCGCAAGCCUGAUCGAGCAACGCCGCGUGAGUGAAGAAGGCCUUCGGAUUGUAAAGCCCUGUUAUUGGGGAAGAAAAGAUGUAGGUGAAAAUGCGGCUGUUUUGACGGUACCUAAAGAGUAAGCCCCGGCUAACUUCGUG
rnacentral:rRNA from 1 species